CCUACGGGAGGCAGCAGUGAGGAAUAUUGGUCAAUGGCCGCAAGCCUGAACCAGCCAAGUAGCGUGAGGGAUGACUGCCCUACGGGUUGUAAACUUCUUUUAUGCGGGGAUAAAGUGGUCCACGUGUGCCUGUUUGCAGGUACCGCAUGAAUAAGGACCGGCUAAUUCCGUGCCAGCAGCCGCGGUAAUACGGAGGGUCCGGGCGUUAUCCGGAUUUAUUGGGUUUAAAGGGAGCGUAGGUGGGUCGUUAAGAGUGCCGUGAAAUUUUGUGGCUCAACCAUGAGAGUGCAGUGGGUACUGGAGACCUUGAGUGCGCGGAAGGCAGGCGGAAUUCGUGGUGUAGCGGUGAAAUGCUUAGAUAUCACGAAGAACCCCGAUUGCGAAGGCAGCCUGCCGCAGCGUUACUGACGCUGAAGCUCGAAAGCGCGGGUAUCGAACAGGAUUAGAUACCCUUGUAGUC
rnacentral:rRNA from 1 species